UUGUGUUGAGUUCUCCUAGUGACUGGAUGAAUUUCAUCUUCAGAAAGUUCUGUUUGUGUUGCAAUGAUGCUUCAGGCCACUUUCUAUAUCAUUGCUGUGCAUUUAUCUUUGUUGAUGGUGGUUUACGUAGCAGUCUGUCUUUAUAUCAUCAGUGACUUAAUGAAGAGAAUCGGAGCUUUAGGAUUUGCAGGUGAAAGGAUGUGCAUGACGGGCACUGCUGAAGUGGUUUAGCCAAUUUUUAUUUUAACAGGAGGGAAAUAAAAUAGCCCAAGUGCGAAAAUAGAUAUUUUGAAGCCGAACAUAGUGCUCGUCAGCAUAGAAAACAUUCUGUGAUGAGACUUUGUAAGGAAUUUUUCCUAGUACACGUAGUCCUCUCCAUUAAUGAGAACCUAUGUGCCGAAACAUCAUCCAACACUCUUUUUACAGCUUCAGAAAAAGUGUGAAGUUUAAAGGCUUUGAGUCACCAAACAACACCUUGCCCUAAAUUAGGCUGGCCUGGUUUGCAGCCAGUAGCAAACAUUUUUCUAGGACUGCUCUGCCAGCUUGCAAUAGCCACGGCAAAGUCAUGACUUGACUACUCACGACUUUGUUAAGCUUUCCAGGAUGUGUGGGUGAACUCUGCAACCCUCUUCCUGGGCAGAGCUGUUUGUUUAGGCUACGUCUCCUGCAUCAACUUCUAAGCAUUGCUGUUUUGGUCCCUGAGGACCUGAGUUUACGUCUGAUGGAAGGCCAAGAGAGGAUUCAGCAUCAAAACCCAAACUUGAUUUUUAUACUGCCAGACUGCGUUGCAAAUGCAUGGCUGAGUUCAGCAGGUGAGGUUGCACGAAUGUGUGAUGCUGAGCAGUGUUCAAAAUCAGCUGCUGUUGUAGGAUAUCUUACAGGAGUUGAGCUCUUUCAUUUCUAAAGUGCGGAUUUCACCUGAGAUAUCUCUGUAGCCUGGCAUCUGAGGGGCUACUCGGUUACACAGAUGGGAGAAAUCAGGAAUCUUGCAGUUGAGUUUCACAGCAGCUCUCCUGAACAUAAUUAUUUGGGUGCAUAAUUGCACAAUUGCUCCUGUAGGACUUGGGGAUGUUUCCCUUCAUCUGUGGCUAAUUAAAUAUGCAAAACUUUAGUUUUAAAAAUUGCGUUAAGGCAAAUGUUUGUUUGGUAUCAGAGAACCUUUGUGGGCUGCUGGAUGCUGUUUCUCUAGGAGAGUCAUCCCAGAUAAACUGAUGCCUCGACCUCACCUGAGGUCCACAGGGAUUAAGCAACUGCGCUGACAUUUUUGUGAACUGAUAUCAAGCGAGAGCCAACAAAACAAAUCUGUUCUUCGUGAACCUCAGUAGGAAACUCUAUGAAAUACAGAUGCUUUGGAAAGCAAGAUUAUGGAUAGUAUUAACAUUGACUACUCAAAAAACAGUCUGUCUAGUAGUGAGGAUUUCAAGAAUAUCUGAUAUUAAGAUACGCUUUUUGUAACGGGGAGUAGCUAUAACUGGCUGAAAAUUUUCUAAAAAAAAAAAAGAACAAUUUUUGGAAAAUACAAAUCUACUGUAAUAUUUCAUGUGGUAAUUUGCCAGUUUUUUGAAAUGGGAUAUGUUGAUGAGGCCAAAACCUGAAAUUGAGGCUUUUGUUCUAUAAAGUAAUGGAGAAGAGAGGAGGUUGACUUGUGUCUGAAGUGAAGGACUUCAGGGUUAAUUGCUUGUGUCAUGGAGAAUGUAUUUGUUUGCUUUGCACUGGGGGAUGAGAGGAUGUUUUGAAGUCUGGGUGUUUUGCCAUUUCCAGCAGAAUGGCAAGUUCUGCUCUGAAAACAAAACCUCUCCGCUUGGAGGCGAGUUAGCCUGUCCUUUGCCUCUUUGUGAUAGAAUAAGAAAUAAUAUGCGGCUACUGGUCGUGGUUCUUGGUGUACAGCAAAGUCUCUGCUUUUAAAAGAAAAGCAAGGGAAAACCUUGGAUGGGUUUGCCUAGCUCUCAGAAACCGUUGGUAAAAAGGUUUUGCGAUGUGGUAAACAAAGACUGGAGUCCUUCAGGUGUAGUGAGCAUUUCUAAGGUAGGUUAGGAUACACAGAGUAAAUCUGCUAAUAUUGUCUAAGCAGUGCAAGAGCUAGACAUCCACAGAAAUUUUAACUUAUCCUGUUCUGCUGGAAUUGCAGAACCAGGAUGCCUGUCACCUAGCCCGGUAUUUAGAUGACCGACUUGAGGGCAAAUCAAAAGGGUCUAGAAGCCAUGUACACUCCUGCAAAUCUCCCAGAUAAAAGAUGAAAGUCCUGACCUUUUACCAUGCAUGUUAGUGUAAGUUUGUCUGCUAAUUAAAUAUCACACAUUUGAACCCUCGUUGCUUAUAUACAAGAUGCCAUCCCAGCGCAAGCAGCCUCGCAGGGGGAACUUUAACCAGUGAUGUGGAUUAAGUUCGCUGCAUUGGUGCUAAAAGGUAUGUAAGUACUGCCAGAGUGAGGAGCUUUUACAUAAGUGACCCAAAUGCACCCUGAAUUUGGAAAUGCCAAUACCAAAAUUGAUUGUAACAAAUAUUUCCAAGAAACACUGCUUGGGAAAACAGGGAGGUUCAGGCCUUGAAGGUAUUUGCAACGAGGCUCCCCUUAUCCCUGGUUAUGCAGUUCUGUCACUUCUUAGAUAUCCUUGAUUACAUGAUGUGCAAAUAUGUACGUUCUUUGCCAAGAAAAGUAGCUUCCAAAUGCUUCCUUGGAAAGGAAGGAAAAAAGCUGUAGGUUGCUGAAAGUCAGUGUACAGCAGCAUGACAUCAGAUGUGACACCACUGCUAAUCUAGUAAGCGGAAAACAGAUGUGGGAAGCUUCUAUGAUUUCCUGCUUAUUAAGAUCAGAUUUGUCCUGUGAUUAUGAAUGCUUUUUGCCUUCUGUAGAUAUGGAUGUUUAGACAAUGCUCUUAGAGAUACAUUUGAAAAUUAAGAGUUGGAAGAUGCGUGGCAUCUUCCCUAUCUGCUGUUGGCACUAAUUUAGUAAUGAGCUAAAUGUUAUCCCCUUCAGAAGUAAUUAGGACAGCUGAUUUGUGUGUGCAUCUCAGACAAGUAGGAAAAUACUACAGAUUUCAUAAUCUUUUCCAUUUUUUUCUUAGAGACAAUUAUCUGGGUUAAGCAAACUCCUCCUAGCUCAGUGGACAGACUUUUGAACACUGCAUGCCUUGUCUAACUUAUUUCCUACUUAACAUCAUUUAUAUGUUUCUAUUUCUAGCAUCCUAUUUUUCAUGCUUGAUUGGAUUUUUGUUUGAAUGUUUCUCAGUGCUAAACACCUAUUUAUACAUCUUCAGUUAGGAGAGCUGAUAUUUCUUAUGGUACAAGCCUGCAGAGACCAGUUUUAAUUAGUACCCAUGGGGUGGUUACAAACCCUAAAAAUCAGUUAGAUGAUGGGAUCAUCUAACUGCAGAAUGGAUUUGAAAUAUCUUAUUUUACCUGCAAAUCUGUUAUGCAAUCAUAAAUCCUCUCCCUAAAGCUAUGCUGGGUGGGGUGUUUAUCCUUUCGUCGUAUCAAACAGCGGUAGCAAUUAUCAUGAACCUGUAAGCAGGAAAAGCUUGAAGGUUUUUAAGCUUUAAAACCAAAGUGAAGAAGUGCUCUGUGUAAUGCUCUAAAGGAUGCCAUAAGGGCGGCCAGUUGAGCAUGAAAGCACAUCAGGGGCUAUUAGCUGAAUCCCCACAGCUCCUGUCUGCCCAGAUUGCCUCCACCGAGGGGUGGUGCAGCUGUCGUUGGAGCCUUGGAAAUACCAGCUCCUUUGAUUAACAAAGAAGUCCUAGGUUGAAUGCAAUCAUGUCUGGAAAUAAACUGAAAAUGGCAAGGGGGAAUGGGGGGGCAAACAUAAGGAUCUCUGGCAGUAUUUAAAUAUACCUGCUGCCAUGAGGUCAUCUGAAACCUGUGCUCAAGUUGGAGAUGUCCUAGGUCCUUCCAGUGGUGUGGUUUUGGUGGGGUCGAGCAAAGAAGGAAGUGGGUUGUGGAGUCACUCAUGAGACUGACAGUUUAAAUGCCCCUUGUCUUUAUAGUUCCCUUAUGAACAUGCUCCAGUGCCCAUCAAGUAAUAAAGAGAUUGCUCUUAAAUGAGUUGAGAUUGGAACCCGAAAGAGAGAGCUGAGGGUUUGUCUGGGUGAACAUGGUGGCAACGCAAGGACUGAGUUAGGCUGUUGUAGUCCCAGAGCUUGCCUUCGGCUUCUCUGCCUUUCUUCAAAUGGCAGAACACAAAGUGCUCCUUCAAGCUUUGACUCUUCUCUUUGGGGGCCGUUUGGGCACAGAUGGCAAAUACUGCAGUCCUUGCUUGUUUGAGUGUCUACCAGGAAAGUUCUUAUGAAAAAGGGCUGCAGGGUCAGAGCCGUGCACUUUUGUAAGAUUGAAUCCUCAGCUGGAAUUGCAUCUGCUGCACUCCAUUGGUUUUACUUUCGCUUAACAGACCAUAAACAAUUUGUUUACACAGACAGCUUUUCAUCUUCCACAGUGAAUCAUAACCAAGUUCUCCAGGGAUCAGUCCCUGGUCUGGUUGUUGCUUUUCAUUUAUAUACCAGGCUUGGAUGAUUUAGAUCAUCCAUGUUUCCAUCUGAAUUCAAAGGCAGGUGGUUUAUGUCCUUUCCCUUGCACAAGGAUCCUACUGAAAAUCUGCAUUAUAGAUCUGGCAGAUUAAGCUUUGCUUUAAAAUACUUUAUAAUAAACUUGUGAAGAGAUGUUAUGACUCAUUUCCCACGGAGAAGAGAAUCCUGGUCCACCGAUACUGAAAACAUUGGUGUCUCUCUCGUGCUCUCUCAGAUAUCAUCAUCCUUUAAAAGUCCUUUGGCAUUAAUGGUGAGCUCUUAUUCUCAGUUUGUGCUCUUGAGUAAGGGGAAGGAGAACGUGUGACGCUGGGGUAGUGUUUUAUGGACGGAGAGAGAAAAAGAUCGUAAAAUGGCAAAAUGGGCUGAGGUGAUGCCCUAAAGGUGACCAGGUGGGCAUGGAAGGGUAUCCAAGAGUUGUUAGCUAAUAACCCCUGGACAUUUUUUUUGUGUGAGUCUGAAUGUCUGUGCCAUAGUGCCACAGGAUGAGCUACAGCUGUAAGCCUCCUGAGGAGGGCAAACUGGGGCUGAGGAGUACCUGCAACCAGAGACAACUGGAGAGAGACCCUGUUUUACAUGCCAUGUUUCAUGCCCAAGCUCUUUAGGCUGAGAAAUGACCCCUGUAAUCCUGCAGAAAGCUGGUGUUGGGUCUCCAGGCUGCCCCAGCAACUCUUAAUUACUCUGGACAACAAAAUAUAAGAAAGCUGCUGUUACCUGAACCUUGGUAUCUCAAAGAGCUUUGUUGAUGUGUUUCCUUCCUCUCCUCUGACAUGAAGAACAUAGUUCAGCACAGACACCUGCUUUGUUAUAUAAACUUUCCUCAAUUAAUUGCUUGAUAUCUUCAAUUUGGAUGACCCAUUAAUACUGGAUCUCAUUGACUUGCACGUCCCGAGUUUUCUUUGGAAAUUGCAUCGCUUGCAGAAGAUGGAGUAACAGCUUGAGGAAAUGUGUUCUGUUAAGAGAGAUGUGGUGGGAGCAGAAGAACAGGAAUGGACUUCUUGCCACUGUUCCACCAUGAUCAACUUAGACUAUGGCUGGAUGGAUUCACAACCACAGACUGCAUCUGGAUGAGCCUAAGUUCUUUGCUGGGAGACUGAGGCAUCACAGCAGCAUGAGCUGGAUGGGAGAUGAUCUUCCCUGCCUAAAAUACUUCCAAACAACAAUGGAAGGAGUAGGGGAGAAGGAAGAGACAAAUCCCCUUUCCUUUAAAAAGGGGCAAAGCUUUGCAAGGAAAUUAAAGGUCAGUCAUUUUUCACCAGUCUCUGUAAGAGCACAGAACCUUCCUCUGAUUGUCCCAUGAGUCCAGCACAGCGUGAUGACCUCCAGCACCUUUCAGUCUGCUCCCGGCACCAAGUGGUAGAAAGGCUUUACAUAUGGAUAGUGUCACCCACUUAUUGCAGCAGAUAAGGAGGGAAAUAUGGCAUGGCACCAUUCAACACGAUCAGCAGGCGAAGUCCACACACUUGAAAUAAGUUGUGGUACUUGCUUAUUCAGCAAAGGAUUUAAAUGUGCACUGAACCUGGUCAAUUUGUGUGACUUUUCCAUGGUUAUAGGUGUAUUCCUGAGCUGGCACCGUGUUUCUAGUGUAAAUUGGCAAUAACUGGAGGGUGUUGUUGGUGUAAAAUUAGUGUAAUUAGGUUUGAACUGAGCCAACUUUUCUUGACCGGUUUACAUACUUCACUCGCUUUGCUUUGUCCAGCAGAAAAAGCUUUGUGCAGCUUCGGAUGUCUUGGCAUCUAAUUUUACUUCCAGUCUCGUCAAACAAGUACCUUGUUUUCUGGAGAAUACCUCGGAAUAGUGGAGAAAAUUGAUACCUUGCUGUGCUGAGAGUUGCUGUUCUCCGGAUGCUGACCCACUUCGUGUUACAGAAAUACCCUGUGGAUCUUGACACCGUUGUUUGGAAUGUGCUAAAAUUUACUUUGCAGGACAUGAAGCAGACAGGGUGUCCCGAAACAGUUUUGCUCUUCUAGCUAAAUGAGAGAGGAGAACCGGAUCAGAGAGAGCAUGAAGAAGGGGCACAGAUCAUUCCAUGGACCUCAUCAUAUGCACCGAACUGCGUUUUCAUGGCCAAUGAUGUGAACUGGAGCUGAAUGAACUGGUGUUAAACUGCAAGGACUUGAGCAUCAUUUUCAGAAGAUAAAGAUUGUAAGAGUGAGCAACACAAAAUAUGAGGGUUGACUUUCCUGAAUAUACAGAGCAACCCCACUGCUGCUGCUGGAGUCACUGCUG